rnacentral:lncRNA from 1 species
CAGAUAAGUUAAUGAUAAUAAAUUUCCCCACGUUACUCGUACUUUCUGACUUUCACAUUGCCUAAGAGGAUCUUAAAUAUUCUAAAUGUACGUGAAAUAGUCCUAACUGUCAAAAUAUAUUUGCUACUUUCAAAGAGGUUUAUAUGGUUGUUUGAUUUUUCAGUCAACAUCUAAUUGGAAUUUACAAUGCCCGAUAUUUCUACACAUCUGCCACAAAUUUUAUGGAAAACAAUAUUUAUAGAAACUGAACAUACCUUGGUUAAACGUAUAUGAAAUGGGUAACCAUCCUCGAAGAACAUCAACCAGCUGUCGGCAAUGUGCAGGUGGACUGAGGAAUUUUCCGGUGUGUCCUUUAUGGACUGUACUCCGUCUUAGCACUAUCCUCAAGUUUUACCCGAAAGGCCAUGCUUCAGGUUGGACCGUCUUCCAUAUAUCUACUGACUUCAUAUAAAUGAAAGUGUACUAAAGGCUCACUGAUCUACACUACCAGCUCAUGCUCAACGUUACUGAACAACAAAGUAAUCCGACAAUCAGACUGGACCCGGUCAUGUUAGAUACCAGUGGAAGGAGAUGAACAUACAAUUGACUCCGCAUCGAUGCAUGACUUCGCCCGGAACGCGGCAAGAACCAACAAUGGAAGAAAAACUACAGACGUGUUUAUUAACAAUAAAGUUAUUUUUGUUUUUAUGAAAUAGCGAUUGAAUAAAAAUAUUAGGUAUAUGA